rnacentral:lncRNA from 1 species
GGUCUGUCAGUCUGACCACUUCGGUAUAGGAUUCUAAGCAGUAUGCCUUCUACCCUUUUCCGACCAUGGUCAGGUCUUCUCUCGGCAGCAAAAAUCCAAUCUUCUUCCAGCAUCAUCCUGGGCUCUCGAACGAGAACCCUCAGAAACCUGCUUGGAAGCAGUACCAGCAUGAGCAUUCUUUGAAGGACCCAAUCAAUCCUUGACAGAUACUCAUUGUGUAGACGAAGUCAUAGCCAUCGGGUAUCCUUUAGAGGUAACUGUUCUACUCUUCUUCACCAUGGAUUCCGACGUAGAGCAGCUACAAUUUGUGAUUGAAAACUUCAAGAACACUAGAACACAGCCCUCCUUCUAGCGCCAAUGUUAACGCCAGAAUCUUUCUCCACGUCCCAAUCACGUAAGACGUCCUGAUCCUGCACAGUAAACACAGUCAACACCAAAAGCUUGACUGCUUGGACCGUCGGGGGAUAGCUCCGGCGUGAGAGUCAGUACAGGCGAUCACAAGGUUAACAAUGGAGGAAUAAAUAUCUAGUGACUUGAGAGCAAUAAUUCAUGAGUUACCUUUCACCGUGUGUCAUCCUUGCUUUAUAUC